rnacentral:rRNA from 1 species
UCUCUAGGUUUGUACAAAUGUAAAAUAACAUGUCUCGUCUGAUCUCAGAAGCUAAACAGAGUCGAACUUGAUUAGUACCUGGGUGGGAGACCACCUAGGAAUAGCUAGUACUGAAGGUG